CUCUCAUUUCCCGCUCGUGACAGUCACUUUCGCGCCGCCAGCAGCUCCGUACCCGCGCUCCAAAGAUUCCGAUUCACUAACUUACGCAAGUGUGCGUAAAGCAGUGCUGCCGCUUGCGCUCGGCGCAGGCUGCCUGUGCGCUGUUUGCGUAAGUGCGCUGUUUGGCGGCACGGCUGCGCACGCCCUCGCUCUGUCUGCAGUUCCGUGCUGGCGCAAGCGCGUCCUCCCGCGUGUGUGUGCUCGUCCUCAGGCCAACAAAACACAAAGUGCAUUAUUCACCACUGGCUGCCUGACAUUCAACCUAGACUUCUCCAGGGGACCAAAACACCACUAGAGGAACCCUGUUCCAGCAUGUCAGAAACUUUGAAAUAUGUGGACGAUGAACACAAAACUAUUUUCCUGAAGAUUUUGAACGAACAGAGACUAGAAGGCGAGCACUGUGACAUAGCUGUGGUGGUCGAAGACGUGAAGUUCAGGGCACAUCGGUGUGUGUUAGCAGCUUGCAGCAAUUACUUCAAAAAGCUUUUUAAAAAGCACGAGGUGGACAGUUCAUCGGUCAUUGAGAUUGACUUCAUCCGCUCGGACAUCUUCGAAGAGGUGCUGAAUUACAUGUACACGGCUAAGAUUUCCGUUAAGAAAAAAGAUGUAAAUUUAAUGAUGUCGUCCGGACAAAUACUCGGAAUACGAUUUUUGGACAAGCUGUGCUCUCAGAAACGCGACAUGUCCUCUGAGGAGAAAAACGACCAUAAAACCGCCAAAUAUCCCUACGACCUUGUGAAAAUCGGACUUCAACCGGAUGAGCCCCAGUUAAAUCAAGACAGUGACGUCCAGGUCAUUGGCGACCAAGAUGACGCUCCAUCUGACGAUAUUGUAGAGGAGCCUCAAGGCAAUCACGAUCUAGACAAAUCACCCAACAGUGCCCUGCGAGUGGAGGAGGCAACUUCACUUUUGAAAGAACUAACCCAGGAGGAAGUACACAAGGUUGCGUGUUAUGAUCAGGAUGUGGAAGCUCUGGACGCUGAGCCCAAAGAGCUUGCCGCUCACACCCAGACCCUUGCGUUUGCUGACAGCAUGGGGGACGUUAAGGAUGAGCAAGCUCCUGGAUGGAGCACGGCUACUGCAGACAUGAAGCUUGAAUACCUUCUGUACGGCCACAGGGACCAGUUCGCCUGCCAGGUUUGCGGGAAGACCUUCGUGGACGAGAACCGGCUGAGGAAACAUGAAAAGCUGCAUUCUGCCGAGAGACCGUUCAUAUGUGAGAUAUGCACCAAAGCCUUCACCACGCAGGCCCACUUGAAAGAGCAUUUAAAAAUCCACACUGGCUUCAAACCCUACAGAUGCGAAGACUGUGGCAAGUCUUUCAUCCGCGCCCCAGAUCUGAAGAAACACGAGAGGGUACACAGCAACGAGCGGCCCUUCAACUGCCACAUGUGCGAGAAAGCUUUUAAACACAAGUCCCACCUGAAGGACCACGAACGGCGACACCGGGGCGAAAAGCCUUUCAGGUGUAGCUCCUGCACCAAGGCUUUUGCCAAAGCGUCCGAUUUGAAGAGACAUGAGAACAACAUGCACAGUGAGAGGAAGCAGCUGUCUGCAAACAGCUUGCAGAGUGAGACUGAACAGCUGCAAGCGGCCGCGAUGGCAGCAGAGGCCGAGCAGCAACUGGAAUCCAUAGCAUGCUCAUAACAUAACGUGUGUGUGUGUUCAAUACACUCACACUGAUGCACUGUAGAACAAUCUUUUCUUACCCAUUUCAAUAUGGUAAACAGAUGCAGUCUUAUUGGUUUGGUCUUGUUUUAAGUUCAUUUUUUUUGAACGAUUAGAAUAUCAGAUAGUUUAUUAAUUUUAGAAAGAUACGUUGAUUAACACUGUUGGACAAAUUUUUUUUAUUAUUUUCUUCCAGAUGUAAAUGGUGCAAGAUGUUUUUUUUUCUCACUGUAAACUUCAUACCAAAUGUAUUUCAGUAUUUGUGGCAGUGCAAUGGACAGUGAAUUGUACUGACUUACACGUGUUGAUACAGUACACAUGCACAGUGCCAGUUUUGCUAAGAAAACAGACUUAUCAAAAUGCUGAUGAAAAAUCAUGUCUUUGAUGGUCAGACUUUCCAUCAACUAUCUUACAAGAUGAAAAGAAGAUUUAGCUUAUUGAUAUUUUUGCUGUAAUAAAAAGAAGGCAUUUCCAAAAGUGCAGACUUUUGUGCAUCGGUUGCAUCUUUGUAUUUUGUGUGUGGCGCAUAAAAAUUUACAGCUUGUAAAGAAUUUCAACCAAACCUGUUGAACAAUAAGUCAUUCCUAGUAAGCAAUCUUUGCAGCUUAUUUAUCUUAUGAAAUUUUGUGUGAAACCGGGCAGCGCAGUGCAGUGGGUAGAUCCGGAGUCCCCAGUUUAAUCCUGAGCUUGGGGUUGAUAUCUGCGCUAGGGUUUUUUUUUUUUUUCACAGCUCCCAAACAUAGGUGGAUUGGCAGGGCUUAAUUAAUAUCUAUGGCAUGAGUUACCCUUCUUUAUAAGAAAGUAUGUUUACAUGGACAACAAUAAUCCAAUAUUAAUCCAAUUAAGACAAUACUCUGAUUAAGAAACCAGCAUGUAAACAGCGAUUUCCGAUUACUUUAAUCCGACUAAAGUGAUACUCGAGGUAAACACAAAUCGAAUUAAGACAUGUGGAGUAUUCCUGUUGUAGUCACAUUAUCGGAGUGCGUUAUAGACAUGUACAUACUUGUAAUUACACUAUUAACGUCAUGUGGGAGAUUUCACCAUAUUUUACGACAGGACACACACAUGGCAGUGCUCAACCGUUUGACAGCAAAAAAGAGCACGGCUGCAUCCGAAACCACAUACUUACCUGCUACAGUAUAUGGUAGGUACAAUACAUAUAUUUCUAUAUAGUAUGUAAGUAUGCAGUUUCGGAUGCAACCCACGGUUUCAAUCAGUCGUCUAUUAGCACGUAUAGCAUGACAAAUAAUUAACUGCACUUGAAACUUUCGUAAAAUUAAAAAUGACACACCCAAAACUGUAUAUGGUACCAUAACGAAGAGGAACUGUAUAUUGAUACGUGAAAUUCUGGAGGGAAUGUAAUGAUGUGUGACGUUAAUCGAUCUGUAUUCUAUAACAUGUAAAAUGGGAACAUGAAAAGAAUAUCCUAAAAUCAACUCAUGUAAACACCUUAAUCAGAAUAUUGUCUUAUUCAGAAUAAGGUCAAUAAUUACUGAUGUCCAUGUAAACAUAGUCAUUGAAGUCACAACCCUCUGUUACUAAGCCAAAGAUUUAUUAUCUGGGGGCUCACAAUUAAUUAUGAAGACUCUUACUACAUUACAUUACUACUUACUACAUAAUUAUUAAUAUGAUGAGGAUAUCACCUGGCUGGAUCGUUAUCUAUUAACAUCCCAAAUAUGUAAACUGGUAGAACACUUUCUGUUUAUAAACAACUGGUAACGAUACCCUUAUUUACAUAUAUUACAUAAUGUAGUAUGUCGCAAAGGUAUCAAUCGAAAACUAUCAACAAAUGAAUAAAUAAAUGACUCACAUGAUGAGAGUCCUUGGAUGAAGUCCUGUCUCUUAUGAAAGAAUAGGUAACUUCGCUAAUUGUCCGCCACAGUGGCAGGCAUCCAAUCAGAACUGACUUCCGGAAAAACUAGUUAGCCAAUGAUAUUUGAGGCUACAGCUGAGCCCGCCUACUGCUGACAAAAUAAAAAUAUUCGCUCGCGCAGAGAAAAACUACAAAACUCAGAAAAAGCAUACAAAACUGUCAGUAAAGAGAAGGCGUGUUUCAUCUUGUUGGCCCUUAUGAUAAACUGUCACUGUGAUAUAAAAUUAAAUGUGUGUGGUUUAAAAACGUGUCGCUACUAACUGCUUAUUAUUAGGUUGUUUUUCUUUUUACAGAACAACCCCGGACACAUUUGAUAAUUUCACGUAUUUCCUGAAAACAUUUCUUCUUCUCGUCAUGUCUCAAGUCCUCGCUUUGAGAUGUCAGAAUGAAUAAAUUAGCAGUUUUGCGUCGUGUGAACGUCAGGAGGCGUUAAACACGCACGGAUAGCCUAGGAAUCGAGUCGGCUAGUGCGCAUGCGCAAUUAGCGACAAGGAGCACUUCAAAACGUUCAGGUGUGAAUAAGGUGAUCUAACAUCAUCACUUCGUUCCCAAAAUACGAGUUUCAUUCAUCCAAUUUAGCUACCCCGUUGUUCUCUUUUCACGCUUUUGCAUUGGGUUUUAAGAGAAAUAUCUCAGUGCGUUAUACAUGAUGUAAGUGUUACUUUCUCAAGCUGUACAAGUUGAAGUGGCAGGGGUUUUUUUCUUCGCACAUUGGCCACGCUUUGUCGGCUGCUCAUUAUUAAAAAAAAAAUAGCAACGGAUUCACUAUUGUCUUUGUUAUAGACAAUCUGGAAAUCUUGUUUUUAUUUCACAAUAAUUUAACGUUAAAGUGCAGUAUUAGACAACCCUUAACUUCUGCCGCGGAGGAUAUAAGCUAGGCUAGCCUUCAUUCUCAGGAGUGCAUGAAGUUUAGAAACCUUGUCAGUUUUCUUUCAGUCAUGCUCGUGAAAAUUACGUUUUUGUCUGAAGUGUCCAUCUCGCUUUAUUUAUUUAUUUAUAUUAUUAUUAUUUUUAUUUUUUUAGAGUUAGGAGUGAAAACGUCUUAUCACUGUCACCUACUUCUCAAACUCGGUGAGGAAUCAUGAAAGUGGAAGAGGAAGGUGAGAGAGCCAGAGAAGGCCAUUCACACAGCAAGAAGAGACCAGCCGAGACAGACGACCACAGAAUUAGGAAGAAGGUGAAAUCAGGAUCCAAGAAAAACCUUAAAGGUUCUGAAGUAAAUGGAAAGUCCCACGGAUCGUCCGCAAAGGUAUGCUAGACAUGAAAGGUCAUACAUUUUUAACACACAUGUACAAGGGUGUUUUGUAAAAAAAAAAAAAAUUUUUUUUAAGAACUCACACUCAGGAUCUUCACACAAACCUCUGCAGGAAUCUAAGAUCACAAGGUGUGCUUUUAAGGUCUUCAAUAUCUUUUGUCCAGAUAAAUGAAACCAUAUUGUUAGCCAUACCUCAUAAUAUAUACUAUAUAUGCUUCACAUAGCUCUGAAAAAUUGAAGUCUGAUGCUGGGAACAGUGGAUCUGAAGCUGAGGGCAUGAAGUUGGUAUGAUCUCUCUUUUUGUUUUUGUUAUGUUUUGGGGUUUUUUUUUUUUUUUGGUGAAAUGUUGACCAUGUGAUGGCACUGUUACCAUUCUACUGGUCAUUUGCAAUAUUCUCUAUGAGCUGUGAUUUAUGUAAGUAAUAUGCUUGUUUCUGUUAGGAGUCCUAUGAAGACUUGGAAAAGAGGCAAGUUAUUUAUUAGCUGUUUGGUUAAACGAUUCCCAAUAGUUGUAUAAUACUAAUGCUAGAAAAUUUAUAGCAUAAUAUGAAUAUGAAUGCAUGAAUGUGAAUGAUCUGUUCUUGUAUUAUAGAGCGGAUGGGAACAAUAACUUGGAAGUAAUGCGACCACAAGUGAAAAUGGAACAUGAAGGAAAUGAAUUGUCAGUGGCUCUAAAACCUUUCAUAAACAUUUAUAUUGUUAUGGUUGGAGCUUGGUAAUAUGACAAUAUAAUAUGGAUAUUGUGAUAAAUUAUGUCACAGUGCACAUUGAGCUAGAAUGGGCAUUGUCAGUAUAUUCUUAUAACGAAAUAUAAUUGAAAGCAGUCGAUUAGAUGUUCAUUUUGUUAUGGAUCUUUAAAUGUAUAAAAUAAUGUAACUUCAGUGUUAAAUUAUUUCUUUUUUUUAGACAUCUCGUUAAACUCAAAUGCAACACUACUGUUUUGCUGGCAUUUCGUUAGCGAGACUAAAUAUUAUGCUAGUUAUUGAUUUGUGUUUUUGUCUUUUAAGAGCGAUUUUAUCUGGGAAAACUAAGAACUGCAAGGUGUGUUGCUUUUUUCUUACAGUUGUGAUUUGGAUAGUCUUAGAAUAAUUGUUAAUAACAGUUCAUUAUUCAUUUUUAGUCGAGAACUCUCAGCCAUAAAAGCAGCCACAAACAUAAGCAUCGACACAAGACUACAGAUGACAAGGGUCCUAUACUCGCAGGAAGCAGGUACAAUAAUGGACAUUUUGAUGUCAUUUCAUGUGAACUAUUAUUCAUGGUAGUUUCAUACAGUGAUGCAAAAAGUUUAACUUUGUUUCCCUGAACCAUUUUUUUUUUCUUUUUUAAAUAAUCCUUAAUAUGUCACAUGUGCAUGUAGUUAUCAGCUCAACAGUCUGUAAAAUUUGAGAAAUACAGCAUGAGAGAGGCAGGGGGGGCUCGAUAUUUAGCUCCUCUUUGAAUUUACAAUUGUGUAUUUCAAGAGUUUCACAAAUGCAGUUACUUGUAGAUUACAUUGAAUCCAGUUAACAUGAGGGACUGACAUCUUUGCACUUGAUGUAAUUUUAUUUGCAUACAAAUACCGGAACACUUAGGAGGCUUACACACUGGCAGUUUAGUCCAAAACAGAGCAGGGUUUGCAUGAAAAAUUGGUCAUUUGAAAGCUGUCGUGCAGUAGGAGCUGGUCUGAGUUCAGUUCAGCUGGAACUGGGCCACGAUUCCCAUGAAUGAGAACGCAACUCGAACUCAGGUCCGCACUUGUUCAGGAAGUAAAGUAACCUGUGCAUUUGUGUUAGCCGAUGACGACGACAUUAGUUUCCACAACACACGUGUACCAUGAGUCGCAGGGGAACACUGUGGGAUACAGAAGAGGUCGGUUGUUGCACAUAUCUGCUGCAGAUAAUAUCUGCUGUGCAUAAAAUGCACCAAAAUAAUAAAAUAAAAAAUAUGGUGAAUCGUGUUGUGUUCUCCAUGAGCGUUUGUGAUGACGUAAGAUGAACGCAAAUGCACCGGGGUUUGACAGUGUGAAAACCACCUACGUGAAUUAGAAAGUAAGUGAACUUGUAUAUACCUUUAAUCUAGAAGAUACAUCAUAGGGUCAAAAGUUUGUGAACACAUGACCAUCACACCCAUAUACUGUAUGGUUCUUGCCCAAGCUGUUGCCACAAAGUUGGAAGCACACAGCUGUGUGGAAUGUAUGCUGCAGCAUUACACU